CAGCUGAGGCACCUGCUUCGUUAGGAUCCAAGGAGUGUACCCCUUGGAGCAACAUAACCAACAUGCACGCACGCACGCAGUGUUACUGUCGAAGUACCUCAGAUUUCUAACUCGCUAUGUUCACCUGGUAAAAACACCUUCAAAUACUACUACAUUAAUGAGACAUCUUCACCUUUGUUUAUGAGUUUGUCAGCUCUUCUUCUAAACAGGUUCAGCCUCUAUGGUACCAAUCUCCGAGAGUACUUCUCUUCCGGUGGCUCAAAAUGACAGUUGCAACCGCCGGUGUGAGUGUCGAAGAGUGUUAACCAUCUACCGAGGAAGCGUCAUUUGGUAUGAAGGUCCAACCUUCUGUUGUAGGAAAGGUCUUGGAGUUAUCCUUGACCAACGGGUCAACGCCACGCAAGAACCGGCGUAUGUAUAUUUCGUGCUCAUGGUCAGUUGUACCAUCGUCUGGACCAUCUUGUACCAGGUAGUCAUAGACCCAGACAUAUGCAGCUAUAUAUUUAUGAUACGGAUGAAGCCUCGGAACAUAGGAUGAAGCGCUCUCCGGAUAUUGAUAUCAAUCUCAUACGAAAGAUUCUACGUAUAUUGGAGAACAACCCAGGUUCUCAUCAUUGAUCUACUACUUGAAGAAGAUAAUGGAGGUAACACGAUGCGAGAAGAAAAUACUAUACCUGUUGUGCUUCGCUUGGCCUUCAGUCAGCAAGAUCAGCAGCCAGCUCCUACCUGUAGUUCAACCUCUCAGGAUUCAAAGACUUCCACAAGGAUUGGUUACAAGAGAGUAUUUUCCUUCCUAUGAUUUUGUGUAUAUCUUGUACAGUUCUGCUCAAUGUUGCGCUUGAAAUAUGGCAUUGGAUUGAGCUGAUGUGUGAGACUUAUGGAUUCUGAACCUUUUGCUUUGCAAUGUGUGAUAAUGAUGUGUGAGACUUAUAUAUUGUGACACCAAAUUUAUGUGAUGUGUGCAAUUCUGUAAUG